UACGGGAGGCAGCAGUAGGGAAUAUUGGUCAAUGGAUGCAAGUCUGAACCAGCCAUGCCGCGUGCAGGAAGAAGGCCUUCUGGGUUGUAAACUGCUUUUGCCGGGGGAUAAAAUUCCCAUGCGUGGGACAUUGAAGGUACCCGGUGAAUAAGCCACGGCUAACUACGUGCCAGCAGCCGCGGUAAUACGUAGGUGGCAAGCGUUGUCCGGAUUUAUUGGGUUUAAAGGGUGCGUAGGCGGUCUUGUAAGUCAGUUCUGAAAUAUCCCGGCUUAACCGGGAGGGUGGGAUUGAUACUGCAGGACUUGAGUGGAGUCGAGGUAGGCGGAAUUGACGGUGUAGCGGUGAAAUGCUUAGAUAUCGUCAAGAACACCGAUAGUGUAGACAGCUUACUAGGCUCAAACUGACGCUGAGGCACGAAAGUGUGGGGAUCAAACAGGAUUAGAUACCCUGGUAGUCCACACUGUAAACGUUGAUUACUCGCUGUGUGCGAUAUACAGUACGCGGCUUAGCGAAAGCGAUAAGUA
rnacentral:rRNA from 1 species